rnacentral:rRNA from 1 species
GACGAACGCUGGCGGCGUGCUUAACACAUGCAAGUCGAACGAGUGGCGGACGGGUGAGUACUGGCUGGGAAACUGCCUGAUGGAGGGGGAUAACUACUGGAAACGGUAGCUAAUACCGCAUACCAUCGGAGGUGCCCAGAUGGGAUUAGCUAGUAGGUGGGGUAACGGCUAACCUAGGCGACGAUCCCUAGCUGGUAUGAGAGGAGGACCAGCCACACUGGAACUGAGACACGGUCCAGACUCCUAAGUGAGGCAGCAGUGUGGAAUAUUUCACAAUGGGCGCAAGCCUGAUGCAGCCAUGCCGCGUGUAUGAAGAAGGCCUUCGGGUUGUAAAGUACUUUCAGCGGGGAGGCGUUACCCGCAGAAGAAGCACCGGCUAACUCCGUGCCAGCAGCCGCGGUAAUAC